GGGGAAUAUUGGACAAUGGGGGCAACCCUGAUCCAGCGAUGCCGCGUGGGUGAAGAAGGCCUUCGGGUUGUAAAGCCCAUUAGGUUGGGAAGAAGGUUAGUGGAGGAAAUGCCAUUAAUUUGACGGUACCAACAGAAUAAGCACCGGCAAACUCUGUGCCAGCAGCCGCGGUAAUACAGAGGGUGCGAGCGUUAAUCGGAUUUACUGGGCGUAAAGGGCGCGUAGGCGGUGAGAUGUGUGUGAUGUGAAAGCCCCGGGCUCAACCUGGGAAGUGCAUCGCAAACUGUCUGACUGGAGUAUAUGAGAGGGUGGCGGAAUUUCCGGUGUAGCGGUGAAAUGCGUAGAGAUCGGAAGGAACAUCCGUGGCGAAGGCGGCCAUCUGGACCAGCACUGACACUGAGGCACGAAAGCGUGGGGAGCAAA
rnacentral:rRNA from 1 species